AGCUUUUCGAAUCCGCGCUGAGAUUUCGUCCGAUACCACCCCAUUAGGGCUGAUCAGACUUCCAAGAUAAGUUGUCGACGCG
rfam:Schistosoma margrebowiei strain Zambia genome assembly, scaffold: SMRZ_contig0005594